rnacentral:pre_miRNA from 1 species
AGGAGGAACAACCACAGUGGUGGCGGUCAUCUCUGGAGCCCUGGAUUCAGCUCCUGCAGUAACUACAUUGCUCUCUGUCUGCAGGGCCUGGAGGCUCCAGGGGCAG